UUCCGGUUGAUCCCGCCGGACCUGACUGCUAUCGGAUUGAUACUAAGCCAUGCGAGUCAUUGUAGCAAUACAAGGCAGACGGCUCAGUAACGCGUAGUCAACCUAACCUAUGGACGGGAAUAACCUCGGGAAACUGAGAAUAAUGCCCGAUAGAACACUAUGCCUGGAAUGGUUUGUGUUCCAAAUGAUUUAUCGCCGUAGGAUGGGACUGCGGCCUAUCAGUUUGUUGGUGAGGUAAUGGCCCACCAAGACUAUUACAGGUACGGGCUCUGAGAGGAGUAGCCCGGAGAUGGGUACUGAGACACGGACCCAGGCCCUAUGGGGCGCAGCAGGCGAGAAAACUUUGCAAUGUGCGAAAGCACGACAAGGUUAAUCCGAGUGGUUUCUGCUAAAGGAACCUUUUGUCGGUCCUAGAAACACCGAUGAAUAAGGGGUGGGCAAGUUCUGGUGUCAGCCGCCGCGGUAAAACCAGCACCUCAAGUGGUCAGGAUGAUUAUUGGGCCUAAAGCAUCCGUAGCCUGCUUUGUUAGUUUUCGGUUAAAUCUAUGCGCUCAACGUAUAGGCUGCCGGGAAUACUGCAAAGCUAGGGAGUGGGAGAGGUAGACGGUACUCGGUAGGAAGGGGUAAAAUCCUUUGAUCUAUUGAUGACCACCUGUGGCGAAGGCGGUCUACCAGAACACGUCCGACGGUGAGGGAUGAAAGCUGGGGGAGCAAACCGGAUUAGAUACCCGGGUAGUCCCAGCCGUAAACCAUGCAAACUCAGUGAUGCAUUGGCUUGUGGCCAAUGCAGUGCUGCAGGGAAGCCGUUAAGUUUGCCGCCUGGGAAGUACGUACGCAAGUAUGAAACUUAAAGGAAUUGGCGGGGGAGCACCACAAGGGGUGAAGCCUGCGGUUCAAUUGGAGUCAACGCCGGG
rnacentral:rRNA from 1 species